CGGGUCAGUGUUAUGAAGAGGCUGACCUGGGGCGGGUGAUCCCAUCUGGUGGGAAGGCAGGCAGGCUUCCUGCAGGGGUUAGAGUUGACUUGCCCCAGACAGAUGAAGUGAGUCACUCACUGGGGAAGCAAGGUUCACACUUCCUCCUUCCUUUGGGCUUUGAUCUCAUCUGCCUGGAGGGAGGCGCAGCCUGGAUUACUGGGGGCCACCAUCCUCCUCUCCCAGUUGUGUCCUGUGGGUUCAGACUGGGAGGCCGGCUGUCUGCACCCCCCAACUCCUCCACAUACCCUUUCUGAGGCCCUGGAAGAUUAGCCCUGAGCCAACUACUGCCAAUCCUCCUCUUUUCACUGAGGAAGACUGACCCUGAGCUAACAUCCGCACCCAUCUUCCUCUACAUUAUAUGUGGAACGCCUGCCACAGCAUGACGUGCCAAGCGGUGCCAUGUCCGCACCUUGGAUCCGAACCAGUGAACCCCGGGCCACUGAAGCGGAACGUGUGCACUUAACCGCCGUGCCACCGGGCCAGCCCCCAUGUUCAGGUUUUUGUAUGGACAUAGAUUUUCAUCUCUUGGGUAUAUACCUAAGAGUGGAAUUGUUGGGUCAAUUUUUACAGUUGUUUGAAUUCUUUACAAUAAGCACAUAAUUGUUUUACAAGUCAAUAUUAUUUUAAAUUUCACUUUUCUAAAAAGAUGAGCUGAAUCCAUAGAAAGAAAUAAUGGACCAAAAUUUGAGAUAGGGAAGAGGUAGGACCACUGGCAACCAGCACUGAGGCCCCGGCUGGGUUGGUGUGUGAUUUUGACCAAAUUACCUCCCUUCUCAGGGCCACACCUGUGGAGUGGGGGUGGGGCAGGGGCAGGCGGGGCGGCAGCUGAAGGUUGAGCUGGAAUGAAGACAUCUUAGGCCCCUCCCAGCCCUGACGCCACAAGAUCUUGAGGCAGGCUGAGUUCCCACACCGGGUUAGAGAAACAGAUUAAUGAUCUGGUCUUUUGAGUUCUCUCCCUAAAAAGAUAAAUACCUCAAUAUCAUCAGUCUAGGCAACAAGGCCAAAUUCAACCCAGAAGUAUGUUUUAGGUCAGCAUCUCCAGUCCCUAAUUGAGAAGAAGAGAUAUUUAACUCGCUCUGCCAUUUAUCUCCCACUCUCACCCAGUGCUUCCCAAACUAAAAUGUGCAUACACAAUCCUGUGGAUCUUGUUAAUAUGCAAAUACUGAAGUGGGACCUGAGUCUGCAAAUCUACUGAGCUCCCAAAAUUUAGAUGCCAAAAUUUAGAUGCCAAGGCUCAAUCCCUCCUAGGUGAGGGAUGAAAUAGCACUAUGCG
rnacentral:lncRNA from 1 species